CCUACGGGAGGCAGCAGUGAGGAAUAUUGGUCAAUGGACGAGAGUCUGAACCAGCCAAGUAGCGUGAAGGAUGACUGCCCUAUGGGUUGUAAACUUCUUUUAUAUGGGAAUAAAAUGUUCCACGUGUGGGAUUUUGUAUGUACCAUAUGAAUAAGGAUCGGCUAACUCCGUGCCAGCAGCCGCGGUAAUACGGAGGAUCCGAGCGUUAUCCGGAUUUAUUGGGUUUAAAGGGAGCGUAGGUGGAUUGUUAAGUCAGUUGUGAAAGUUUGCGGCUCAACCGUAAAAUUGCAGUUGAAACUGGCAGUCUUGAGUACAGUAGAGGUGGGCGGAAUUCGUGGUGUAGCGGUGAAAUGCUUAGAUAACACGAAGAACUCCGAUUGCGAAGGCAGUUCACUGGACUGCAACUGACACUGAGGCUCGAAAGUGUGGGUAUCAAACAGGAUUAGAUACCCCUGUAGUC
rnacentral:rRNA from 1 species